rnacentral:lncRNA from 1 species
AUUCUGUCUCUAAUAAGAAUAUUAUUUUUUUAAAAACAAAUUAGUUUCUAAUUCCCAAGAUUUUGCUAGUGGCGUGACGCGAGAACCCAAGACACAAUUGUUUUUCGGCACAUUGGCUGAUUUUUGAAUCUUUUGCUUUGUCGAGUCGCUUAGAUGGUUUUCUCUUGGAAGUUCAAGCAUGGGCGUGACAUUCCAAUGUUGUUACUAUGUUGUCAGUGCU